CUACCAUUUACUUACCACAGUUGUUAUUCCACCUCCCAGGGUGUAAACAGCUUCUGGUCAGUUCAUAGCUCCGAUCGAAGGUUCAUUGACUGCCAAGAAACAGCAGGCUUCAAGUCCUGAGACAACAAAGGCCACAUACAGACAGUGAGCAAUUUCAGUGUCAGUUAUGAACGCGAAUAUUUUGGUUGGUAUAGCAUUCAUAGUCGCCUGCUAUGGUGCAGUUUCGAGUUUGUCGUCUGGCCAAGGCGAUAGGCGUCGCGCGGUCAAGAAAGUACCAAUGAAGGACAUAUCAGAUAAAGACUUGGAAUGGAUUCAAAAAGUUUUGCCUUCCGGCCAAGAAGAUAAGCGUCGCGCGGUUAAGAACGUACCGAAGAGGGACAUGUCAGAUAUAAUCAAGGAAUUGAUUCACGAAAUAGAUGAAUG